GAUGAACGCUGGCGGCGUGCUUAACGCAUGCAAGUCGAACGAUGAAGCCCAGCUUGCUGGGCGGAUUAGUGGCGAACGGGUGAGUAACACGUGAGUAACCUGCCCUUGACUCUGGGAUAAGCCCGGGAAACUGGGUCUAAUACCGGAUAGGAGCGCCUGUCGCAUGACGGGUGCUGGAAAGAUCUUUCGGUCAUGGAUGGACUCGCGGCCUAUCAGCUUGUUGGUGAGGUAACGGUUCACCAAGGCGACGACGGGUAGCCGGCCUGAGAGGGUGACCGGCCACACUGGGACUGAGACACGGCCCAGACUCCUACGGGAGGCAGCAGUGGGGAAUAUUGCACAAUGGGCGAAAGCCUGAUGCAGCGACGCCGCGUGAAGGAUGACGGCCUUCGGGUUGUAAACCUCUUUCAGCAGGGAAGAAGCGAAAGUGACGGUACCUGCAGAAGAAGCGCCGGCUAACUACGUGCCAGCCGCCGCGGUAACAC
rnacentral:rRNA from 1 species